AGAAGGAUCUUAACACCACCUGCAUGCUUAUCUAUGGACAAUGAAAGAAAAUUGCUGGUGCAAAAGAUACAAAUGGUAAACAUCAAGUCAUUCAGCAUGAAAAUCCUGUAAAAAGAGGUGCAUUUCUAGAGCCCAGUACUCUUUUCAUAAAUUGUUCUCCACUGCAAGGCAACUUAUGUAGGGUGUUUUUAAAAAACCAAAAAACCUACAGAAAAAUUAAGUUCUAUUGGACUUUUCCAUAAGUGUUGUGCAAAACUUGGAAGAAAAAAAAGGCUUCGUGUUGGACAAAGAUAUGGAGAAUUUGAGGAGGAAUGGACUUCCAUGCAACAAAUCUAUUUCAGACUUCGGGCAGGAAAAGCGAUCACAACCUUCUGAGGUUCCACCACCUCCUUCACACGCAUACAGGGUUUUAAGCUCAUGGAUACAUACUGUAAGCUGACCAUUCCUUCCCAAUCACUUGCGUGUCGUGACCACAGUGCUCUUUCUCCCCCACUCCACAGUGCCGUAUAAUGAGACACUGCAAAGACUUCAUGAUCUCUGUGUGGCCUUUACACUGCCUGUUCAGUAAAAACAGCAGGCCAAAUCAUCUGCUGGCAUACCUUCAUUGACUUCACUAGAGUUACACCUGCUAAUAGUAGGAGUGAAUUCGGCUCAGCAUUUCAGGUCUUUUGUGCCCAUGAGGAAGACCAAGAUUCACUACUAAAUGAGGAACCACUUGUGAUGGGAUCCCUGGGGUACAGCCUGGAACUGUGGGCCCCCUUAACUCUCCAACUUGGGCUUUAUCUCACAGUGCUUUGCCAGUGACAAGCAGCAAACCCUUCCAGGCGCUGUUAUAACUCAGUCACCAGCAUUCAGAGGCAUGCCCAGCUAAAUUGCAUGAAUGCUCUCCAAGCCACUCAUGAACUAUGCACAGGGAAACAAAUCUCCCAAGCCCCCAGCCUUGCACCCCAGAAAUAUACCAUCUUACAUUGCUCAAGACUGUUCCUUGAACAAUGCAAGCUCAUUAAUUAGCUUGCAACUUUGUCUAAGGAAAGUGGACAUG